rnacentral:rRNA from 1 species
UACGUAGGGUGCGAGCGUUGCCCGGAUUUAUUGGGCGUAAAGGGCGCGUAGGCGGCUACGCACGUCCGUUGUGAAAUCGCUCGGCUCAACUGGGCGGGGUCAGCGGAUACGGCGUAGCUGGAGCAAGCUAGGGGGCAAUGGAAUUCCCGGUGUAGUGGUGGAAUGCGUAGAUAUCGUGAGGAACACCAGUGGCGAAGGCGGUUGCCUGGAGCGUUGCUGACGCUGAUGCGCGAAAGCCAGGGGAGCGAACGGG